AACGUCCGUCGUGAAGAGGGAAACAACCCAGACCGCCAGCUAAGGUCCCAAAGUCAUGGUUAAGUGGGAAACGAUGUGGGAAGGCACAGACAGCCAGGAUGUUGGCUUAGAAGCAGCCAUCAUUUAAAGAAAGCGUAAUAGCUCACUGGUCGAGUCGGCCUGCGCGGAAGAUGUAACGGGGCUAAACCAUGCACCGAAGCUGCGGCAGCGACACUAUGUGUUGUUGGGUAGGGGAGCGUUCUGUAAGCCGUUGAAGGUGUGCUGUGAGGCAUGCUGGAGGUAUCAGAAGUGCGAAUGCUGACAUAAGUAACGAUAAUGCGGGUGAAAAACCCGCACGCCGGAAGACCAAGGGUUCCUGUCCAACGUUAAUCGGGGCAGGGUGAGUCGACCCCUAAGGCGAGGCCGAAAGGCGUAGUCGAUGGGAAACAGGUUAAUAUUCCUGUACUUGGUGUUACUGCGAAGGGGGGACGGAGAAGGCUAUGUUAGCCGGGCGACGGUUGUCCCGGUUUAAGCAUGUAGGCGGAGAUUCCAGGUAAAUCCGGAGUCUUGCUAACGCUGAGGUGUGAUGACGAGGCACUACGGUGCUGAAGUAACAAAUGCCCUGCUUCCAGGAAAAGCCUCUAAGCAUCAGGUAACACGAAAUCGUACCCCAAACCGACACAGGUGGUCAGGUAGAGAAUACCAAGGCGCUUGAGAGAACUCGGGUGAAGGAACUAGGCAAAAUGGUGCCGUAACUUCGGGAGAAGGCACGCUGAUAUGUAGGUGAAGUGAUUUACUCAUGGAGCUGAAAUCAGUCGAAGAUACCAGCUGGCUGCAACUGUUUAUUAAAAACACAGCACUGUGCAAACACGAAAGUGGACGUAUACGGUGUGACGCCUGCCCGGUGCCGGAAGGUUAAUUGAUGGGGUUAUCCGUAAGGAGAAGCUCUUGAUCGAAGCCCCGGUAAACGGCGGCCGUAACUAUAACGGUCCUAAGGUAGCGAAAUUCCUUGUCGGGUAAGUUCCGACCUGCACGAAUGGCGUAAUGAUGGCCAGGCUGUCUCCACCCGAGACUCAGUGAAAUUGAACUCGCUGUGAAGAUGCAGUGUACCCGCGGCAAGACGGAAAGACCCCGUGAACCUUUACUAUAGCUUGACACUGAACACUGGUCCUUGAUGUGUAGGAUAGGUGGGAGGCUUUGAAGUGUGGACGCCAGUCUGCAUGGAGCCAACCUUGAAAUACCACCCUUUAAUGGCUGGUGUUCUAACGUAGACCCGUGAUCCGGGUUGCGGACAGUGUCUGGUGGGUAGUUUGACUGGGGCGGUCUCCUCCUAAAGAGUAACGGAGGAGCACGAAGGUUAGCUAAUCCUGGUCGGACAUCAGGAGGUUAGUGCAAAGGCAUAAGCUAGCUUGACUGCGAGAGUGACGGCUCGAGCAGGUGCGAAAGCAGGUCUUAGUGAUCCGGUGGUUCUGAAUGGAAGGGCCAUCGCUCAACGGAUAAAAGGUACUCCGGGGAUAACAGGCUGAUACCGCCCAAGAGUUCAUAUCGACGGCGGUGUUUGGCACCUCGAUGUCGGCUCAUCUCAUCCUGGGGCUGUAGCCGGUCCCAAGGGUAUGGCUGUUCGCCAUUUAAAGAGGUACGUGAGCUGGGUUUAAAACGUCGUGAGACAGUUUUGUCCCUAUCUGCCGUGGGCGUUGGAAGAUUGACGGGGGCUGCUCCUAGUACGAGAGGACCGGAGUGGACUCACCUCUGGUGUACCGGUUGUCACGCCAGUGGCAUCGCCGGGUAGCUAUGUGGGGAAAGGAUAACCGCUGAAAGCAUCUAAGCGGGAAACCUGCCUGAAGAUAAGUCUUCCUGGAGGCUAGACCUCCCUGAAGAGUCGUUCGAGACCAGGACGUUGAUAGGUUGGAUGUGCAAGCGCUGUGAGGCGUUGAGCUGACCAAUACUAAUUGCUCGUGAAGCUUGAUCCU
rnacentral:rRNA from 1 species